GACCGCUCAGGUGACCAAGUGGUUAGAGCAUCCGCCUCGGAUGCGGAAGGUCGCGUGUUUAAACCCCGGCUGUCA